GGAAUAUUGGACAAUGGGCGAAAGCCUGAUCCAGCAAUGCCGCGUGAGUGAUGAAGGCCUUAGGGUUGUAAAGCUCUUUUACCCGGGAUGAUAAUGACAGUACCGGGAGAAUAAGCCCCGGCUAACUCCGUGCCAGCAGCCGCGGUAAUACGGAGGGGGCUAGCGUUGUUCGGAAUUACUGGGCGUAAAGCGCGCGUAGGCGGCUUUGUAAGUUAGAGGUGAAAGCCCGGAGCUUAACUCCGGAACUGCCUUUAAGACUGCAUCGCUAGAAUCGUGGAGAGGUGAGUGGAAUUCCGAGUGUAGAGGUGAAAUUCGUAGAUAUUCGGAAGAACACCAGUGGCGAAGGCGACUCACUGGACACGUAUUGACGCUGAGGUGCGAAAGCGUGGGGAGCAAACAGGA
rnacentral:misc_RNA from 1 species